ACAAAAAAAAAUCAGUAAUAAGCGGCAGGGCGUAACCCUAUAGGCCAUAGCGUAGCGAAUCAUCGCCGCCGGCCGAAAUGCUCCGCCGCAGCCGCCACUUCCUCCCAUCCAGACCCCGCCGCUGCCCCACCAAACCCCGCCGCGAGGCCCCCGCCGAGCCGCCCACCCCGCCGGUCUACACCCGCGACGUCGUCCGCCGCGUGUACUCCAUCCUCCGCGACCACCCCUGGUCGGCGGCGCGGCCGCUCCUCCUCUCCCUCCCGGGCCUCGCCUGGGACUCCCACACCGUGGCGCGCGUCCUCAAGACGCACCCGCCUCUCCACAAGGCCUUCCUCUUCUUCCGCCUCGCCGCCGGCGCCGGCGCCGGCGGCGGCUUCCGGCACGACCGCUUCACCUACACUUCCAUGCUCCACCUCCUCGGCGAGGCCGGACGCGUGCCGGCCAUGCUCCGCCUCCUCGCCGAGAUGCUCCGCGCCGGGGUGGACCCCGACGCCGCCACCUUCACCACGGUCAUGCACUGGCUGGCGCGCGCCGGGGACGUCUACGGCGCGAUGCGGGUGUGGGAGGAGAUGCGCGCAAGGAAAGGCCGGUGCCGGCCCACUCUCGUGAGCUACACGGCGUGCGUGAAGAUCCUGUUCGACGCCGGGAGGCCGGCGGAUGCCAGGAAGGUCUUCGAGGAGAUGGUGGCAGAGGGGCUGCGCCCCAGCUGCAAGACGUACACGGUGCUCAUCGAGCAUCUCGCUAACGUAGGGAAAUUUGAUGCUACUAUGGAAAUUAUGGGCAAGAUGCAAGAAGCUGGUGUAGAGCCAGAUAAAGCACUCUGCAAUAUUCUAGUUCAGAAAUGUUCCAGGGCUGGUGAGACAUCAGUGAUGAUCCGAGUUCUUCAAUACAUGAAGGAAAAUUUCAUCGUUCUCCGCCGACCUAUAUUUUUGGAAGCACUUGAAGCUCUAAAAGCAGGUGGUGAGUGUGACAAUCUUCUUCGGGAAGUGAAUCCUCAUCUUGCAUUUGAAGGCAUUGAAUGUGACCCAGAAUUUACUGAUCCGGGCUACAUUACUGUCAGAAGUACGAUUCUAUACCUUUUGGCUGCUAGAAACUGGUCCGCUAUAGAACAAAUGAUAAAUGAAAUGACUUGCAAGAAUAUCAAGGUGGAAUCACACAUCCUCUCUGACAUUAUUCAAGCCUGCUGUGCAAACAGCAGACCAUCAUGUGGGCGUGCAGUUCUACGUUACAGUAUAAGAAUAGGCAAUGAACUUGACAGAUCUGCAUAUGGUAGCCUUCUUGGUCAUUACAUCAGAAAUGGUUCAUUUGAUUUAGUGUUUGAGAUUGUUGAAAUAUUGAUUAAAUCUGGCUACAAUCUUGGGACAUAUCUAGCAUCUAUAUUAAUAAUGAAACUGUCCUGUGCUGGGCAUUCUUCAAAUGCAGUGCGUAUUUUUGGAUUAUUGACUACAGACAGGAAUGUUGUUACGUAUACUGCACUUAUGAGUGCCUAUUUUCAAGCUGGGAAGGUUGAUAAGGCACUUCAACUAUUCUCACAAAUGAGUGCUAAUGGAAUAUCUGCAUGUCGGGGUACAUAUGAAGUAGUGAUACAUGGAUUACAAAUGGCUGGGAGGAAACAAGACUCUGAACAUUACCGAAGAGAAAGAAUGGAGAUGCAAUGGAAUCUUCAGUACCACAAUGAGCAUUUGCCUGAAGAUAGCUUAUGUAACCAUCUGUUUUGUAGUUUUCAUGGUUAGAAGAUGGUCCAAAUCUUCAGGCUUGGUUAGCUGAAUCCCCUUCCAGCACUUGAUGCUAUUGCUACCUGAACUUGAUGCUACUGACACACAGAUUAUGCAGAGCUUGCAGCACUGUUUUCGCUUGUUGUCCACUUUUUGGUAUUCUCAGUAACUCAUAAUGAGGUCAGGACCAUUCACUUGGUACACCAAACCAACUACUGGCUUCAUAUUAUCCAAAGUUUCUGUGCUGCUGAGAACAUAUUAUUGAUGAGUUACUGUGUUGUAGAUGAAGAUGUCAAGAUGUCAUUAAAUUAGCAGUCCAUGUAGGACCACCAUUUUGUAACACUGAUGUUCUUUCUGAAAUGGGUUUGUUUAGUGAUCAGAAGUUGUCUUACUCAAUGCAGAUUGCAUACACAAAGCAAGAGCCAUAGGUUAACCCUAUCGGCAUUACAUCAAUUGGAAAGCGGUUCAUUUUGUCUAGUAAUCAUUGGAGUCGUUGAAAAUUUUAUGCUGAUGGUUUUUUACCUUCCAAAAGCAACAUCUUCACGAGCAUGACUGCACAAGCAGACGCUACAUGAGCUGUUCACCUUUUCCAUUUCAAUGUGUUGGUGUGCUGUUGUCCUUCAUCAGUAGACAGCUUCUAAAGGUGCACAUGGUGAAGACUAGUGCUGCCACUUUUAUGCAACCUUUACUCGGGCAGCCCUCAACAAGCUUUCUCUAUUGCUCUUGGCUGCUAUUGCAAAAGGGUUUCACGAAAUUUGAACCUGUUCAUCAUUCUCCUGCACCUUUUUCUGAAUAGUUCUCUACAGGUAUGUUAUAUGAACGGCUCAAAUUCUUUAUAGACAAUGUAAAAAUUAUUAUCAAUAUCAACAUGUCAUGGAAGCUUUGAGUUAUCCUCGAAAA